rnacentral:rRNA from 1 species
UCCGUAGGCGGGCUAAUAAGUCAGGGGUGAAAUCCCAUAGCUUAACUGUGGAACUGCCUUUGAUACUGUUAGUCUUGAGUUAUAUGGAAGUAGAUAGAAUGUGUAGUGUAGCGGUGAAAUGCAUAGAUAUUACACAGAAUACCGAUUGCGAAGGCAGUCUACUACGUAUAUACUGACGCUAAUGGACGAAAGCGUGGGGAGCGAACAGGAUUAGAUACCCUGGUAGUCC